AGCAGCCGCGGUAAUUCCAGCUCCAAUAGCGUAUAUUAAAGUUGUUGCAGUUAAAAAGCUCGUAGUUGAAUUUUAGGCCUGGCCGGGCGGUCCGUCUUUGGCGAGUACUGUCCUGUUGUCGGGUCCUCCUUCUGGUGAACCAGUAUGCCCUUCAUUGGGUGUGCCGGGGAGCCAGGACCAUUACCUUGAAAAAAUUAGAGUGUUUAAAGCGGGCUAUUGCUUGAAUAGAUUAGCAUGGAAUAAUAGAAUAGGACGUUGUGGUUCUAUUUUGUUGGUUUCUAGGACCACCGUAAUGAUUAAUAGGGAUAGUUGGGGGCAUUAGUAUUCAAUUGUCAGAGGUGAAAUUCUUGGAUUUAUUGAAGACUAACUAUUGCGAAAGCAUUUGCCAAGGAUGUUUUCAUUAAUCAAGAACGAAAGUUAGGGGAUCGAAGACGAUCAGAUACCGUCGUAGUCUUAACCAUAAACUAUGCCGACUAGGAAUCGGGCGACGUUAUUUUCACGACUCGCUCGGCGCCUUAUG
rnacentral:rRNA from 1 species